rnacentral:rRNA from 1 species
UACGAAGGGUGCGAGCGUUAAUCGGAAUUACUGGGCGUAAAGCGUGCGCAGGCGGUUCGCUAAGACCGAUGUGAAAUCCCCGGGCUUAACCUGGGAACUGCAUUGGUGACUGGCGGGCUAGAGUAUGGCAGAGGGGGGUAGAAUUCCACGUGUAGCAGUGAAAUGCGUAGAGAUGUGGAGGAAUACCGAUGGCGAAGGCAGCCCCCUGGGCCAAUACUGACGCUCAUGCACGAAAGCGUGGGGAGCAAACAGG